CCUACGGGUGGCAGCAGUCGAGAAUCAUUCACAAUGGGGGAAACCCUGAUGGUGCGACGCCGCGUGGGGGAAUGAAGGUCUUCGGAUUGUAAACCCCUGUCAUGUGGGAGCAAAUUAAAAAGAUAGUACCACAAGAGGAAGAGACGGCUAACUCUGUGCCAGCAACCGCGGUACUACAGAGGGCUCAAGCGUUGUUCGGACCCACUGGGCGUAAAGCGUGCGUAGGCUGUUUCGUAAGUCGGGUGUGAAAUGAGCGGGCGCAACCGGCGGACGGCACAUGCUACUGCGAGACGAGAGGAAUGGAGGGGGAACCGGAAUUCUCGGUGUAGCAGUGAAAUGCGUAGAUAUCGAGAGGAACACUCGUGGCGAAGGCGAGUUCCUGGACAUUAACUGACGCUGAGGCACGAAGGCCAGGGGAGCGAAAGGGAUUAGAUACCCGGGUAGUC
rnacentral:rRNA from 1 species